rnacentral:lncRNA from 1 species
GAUUAAUUUGGUUCGCACCACAAGAAAAAGAAGACGACCGCAAGAUCAUAAGCCCCGUUAAGUUAGUCCAAUUUUAAACCAGACCACGUGAAUCACUGUUAUUAUCAGGCCAAUAUCACUUCCUGUAAGAGUCCAUGGGCUCCCCACCUCGUCUCAGCCCAUUUGAACUCCUAAAGCACGCGAAGCUAACUCGUUUCCAAGCCUGCAUCUCUGCAGAAUAGGCCCGGGGACUUUCCUGAGCCAUAACCCAAUGAACAGGCCCAAGCCCAUUCACAUCGUCUUGCGGUCUAGUUAGUGUACUUGCACUUGAGAAUUGUAUUAAAAUAGGAUUUCGGACUAUCUGUAAGGCGAUAUGGGACAUUAGUUGCUUCAAUGUCCGUCAAUGAUGUGAAAACACUUUCUGAAGUCGAAUUUUAACUCCCAACGUAUACAAUGGGCUGCUAGUUGUAGCGCACAGAAUUUCUUAUGAUUUUCCGGUGUUUAUUUUUACGUUUCCAACUAAUAUUUGAAUUUUAUACCGCGUAAAUCUUAUUAAAAGGGAAACACUCUUAUCAAGAUUUUUCUCAUUCCUCGUCUCAUUCACUAAAUUAUAUGGUUAAACAAAAUAUUUUGCAUAGUAACAUAAGAAAAAAAAUUCACUUUUCCAUUCUUGAAAGGUAUCUCAUUCAACAAAAAGAAAUAAAAUAAUGAAGUCAAACCGACAAAAAAAUAUAAACAAAGUGAAUUAUGAAGUCUCAAAAAAGAUCUUAUAUAUGCUAUAUUUGUGUGUGAUGAUCAUGUAUGUGGUAUGUACAUUAUAUAAGAACAUGCCUUGGCUAAAGUUGACAUCAUCUUUCACGUAAACACCUUUGUUUGUUUAGGCUCUUCACGCACCUGCUUGAUGUGAAAAUCACACGAGUUGCCAAGUCAAUGAAAAGUGUCAAAAUGGAAUAUGGGAUCCUACUAUAGGGUGUUUAAAUGGUGCAAGUCUUAGUUGUGGUAUCUAAGUGAAAGAUAGUACCAACUUUAGGUGUCUGUCGAUAGGUUCAACCUUGUUUAUAUGGUUUUGAGAUUCAUUUUUGAAGGAAUGUUGGAAAUUUCUACUAAAAUCUUGUGGAGAGCUUGAGGUUUCGACAAAAAAGGCGAAUGAUCGGAACCUUUAAUCUGGAAAACUUGUUCAGGUUGAUUUGUAUCUAUCAUGACUUCUUGAAGAGAUGCAGGAAUUGCAAAAUCAUCUCGUGUUUUGACAUAGAAUCUUGGAAUAGAACCAUAAUUUGUUGUAGAAAGUGAAAGUUUCUCUGUUAAUGGUCCAAAAGGAACUUGCCUCAUUGAUACUGAUGCUAAUUCAACAUCCUGAAAUUAACACGAACGUGUCAAAAAUGUUGUUACACCCUUGUCGGAUCCUCCAAAAAUACCUACAUUUGAAGGACUUGACAUGCAUCUGUUGACAUUUUUGAAGAGUCAGAGCAACAUAAUUAAACGCGAUCAAUAUACCUUAGCAGGAGUUUGAUUGAAUAAUACUUCUUUGAGCAAUGACUUGUCAUAAUCUAUAGCAGUUGGAGGAUUAUUCUUCCCAUUUGCAUAGCGAAAAAUAUGAGCGCGUUGACAUAGGUUGUUCAAUCCAAGCUACAAAAUAGCAAAUUUAAUAACUAAUAUCUGUAUAACUAAUAUCAUUUUCUCGGUAUAACUAAUGUAACAAACCUGUACGGAGAAUAUAUCGAGUGUACUCUGUCCACUCUUCAGCAUUGCUGCGGCAACAAAAAUUGCUGCAGACACUUUUGAUGGAUACAAUUCCAUUGCAUAAGAAAUGCAAGCUCCCCCUAUAUCGUGCCCGACUAAUAUAACCUGCAUCAAAAGAGUACUAUUUUUUUUCAAAUUUAUUCCUAUUUGAAAGUGAAUAUAUAUCAUCAUAUUACCUUUUUAUCAUAGUCGAUUUUUUCGAUGAAAUCAGUGAGGGGUUUAACAUAUUGAGACAUUGUAGUAAUGUUGUUGGAAUCAAAAAAAUGUGCACCAGAACCAGUUAAGUCAAUUGCAUCAACUUGAUAUCCGGAUUCUUUGAGAAGUGUUGUAGUUUUGUACCAACACCAUGCACCAAAACCACCUCCAUGUACUAGAACAAAAUGUUUGUUCUUCAAAUCUUCAACAUUUGUACCCUGAAAAAAAAGGUUUAAAAUAUGUUAUUAUGCAUAAUACCACAAAAUGUUACUUCUCGUAAUAGAGUUAGCUGAUCCUGUUGCUGGCCGGUGCUCGUUUGAUUGCUGGUUAGAGAGGAAGUAUUUACGUUUUAAACAUAACAUUGCUAAUAUAUACAAUGCUUGGUUUAUGUUUUCCUUUUCCGCAUAAUUACUACAUGUAUAAGUUAUAAGAAAAUCUAUGUAUUAUUUUAUGCAGGAUACAACAUGAAAAACUAAAUUCUGCAUAACUAAUCCUUGCAUUACUAAUAUCUCUAUAACUAAUUCCUACAUUACUAAUACUUGCAUAACUCUAACUAGCAACCAAACCAAACAACCCCUAAAAUCAUCAUAUUAUUUUUUCUCACAUUAAAAUAGGCAACUAGGUGAACCACGUGUGACUUGAUCAAAGAGUUCAAAAAUGUCAAUCAAAUGAUGAAAGAUUUUAAAUAAAAAAAUUGACUACCAAUACUUUAUAAACAAGAGGACAAUUAAGAAAAUUAAUUGAAAACAAACCAAAACAAAAAAGUUUGAUUACUCAAAACCGAAAAAUUGACCUUUCUACACGUAUAGAGACCUUUUUCUCUUGUUCUUUCGACCCACAAUCACGAGGAUCAAUAGUAUCCUCUCUUACCUCGAACCUGACUCGAGGUGGAGAAAGCCUCACUUGUCUUAACAAACAAAAAGUUUGGUUAUUUUAAUGUGACAAAAAAAAUAAUUUUGUCACUUAGUCAUAUAAUUCGAUGAAUAAAAUAGUUUACAUUUUCUCAUGUUAUAGUGGAUAAAGUUCAGUUACUAUACGUCAGGUAAAUUUAAAGUACUAAUACCUAAAAAGCAAAUAGUAUAGCAAGACAAACCUGAUGAUGAAAGUCGAGAUGUUGAGGAAAUGAAUCAGAUAGUGAUCUAGCACGAGUUCUAGGCAUAAUAUUUCUAGUUUGCCUCCUUGAAGAACAAGUUAAAGUAUCUUUUAGAGAAACGGAACGUUCAAAUUGACUGAGCGUUCCGUUUUGCUGAUGAUGUUGCAAUAGCAGUGUUGCUGCAACACGAGCCUGUUCUCGAAUAUAAUUAUCACCAUCAAAAUUAUUACCUUCAUGGUCAAUAGUUCUCGAAGAUUUUCGACUAGUUGAUCUUGAGAUACAUGAAGGAGGUGGAACAGAAUGAUGAGCACGACCAUUAGAUGAUCUUCUAGUGAUAUUAUCACCAUCAAAAUAAUUAUUGUUACCUUCAUGAUGAUCGAUAAUUCUCGUAGAAUUUGGAUAAAUUCUAUCUGAUUUUCGACUAGUUGAUCUUGAGAUACAUGGAGGAGGUGGAACAGAAUGACAAACACGACCAUUAGAUGAUCGACUACUACGAAUUGUGCUGUUUUUGUUGAUUUUUCUAAUUUUUUUGGUUUGAUUUUUGUUAGAGAAACACGCUAAUGAAUUGCCCAUAUUGUUAGCAUGUGAAUGAGAAGAAAAUUUUGUGACAUGAAUGUUCAUAUAUGUUUGCAAAAAGAAAUGGAAAGUUGUUAAUGAAAGUGAAAUUUCUAAGAACGUGUGGAGUCAAUGAGAAAAUUAUAAAAAGUGGUCAACUUUUGUUUGGUGUAGGUCCAAAUUGUCCUUUUUUUUUUUUUUUAAUUUCCAAAACGGUAGGUAGUGUCCGCGUUGAAGUCCCGAUCUAAUUCGGAUCGCGCAUUGCAGGGCCCAUUAGGGUGACAGUGCUCCCAACAGAGUUUUCUCUAUAUCCUGAUCAAACGCUCGACCUCUGGUUAAGGGUGAAACAACUUCAUCUACUGCACCACAAGUUAUGUUGAUGUUCCAAAUGGUCCUUAAAUUACACUUUAGCAAUUUUGAUCCCUUAAACUUGCUAAAUAUUUAAAGAACUUUAUCUGUUAGAUUCGAUGAAAAUUAUAAUUCCAAAAAAGAUUUAUCGGACACUUAAAGUCGAAUGUACAUUUUGAAGUUUCUGCCACUUCUUAUUUAUUGCUAGAGUCUGAUGCAGUCUUUUAAGGCACAAUUCAUAUUAUUUUGCUCUAUUUUUUUUAUGUCUGAAAUACUAUUUUUUAUGUUGUAAUUUCUAAAAUUUGAUAGGACCUUUCUAGUGCUUUUGUGUUAAUUUUUUUUGUCUAUAGUUCCCUUCGAACAUAACACGCUAAAUAGUAGUACUAUAUAAAGAUUUAAUUCUAGAGUCUACAUAAAUACAAAAUAUUUUAUGGAUCAUAUUAUUUUUUAAAGAUCAAUAUUGAUGUUUACUUUUAGCAAAUUUAAAAAAUCAUCUCACUUCAAAGUAUAUUUAAGAGAUUAUUUUAAACAUACCUUAAAAAUAUAAGGGUCCAUUUUUGUCAUUUCUGGAAUCAAUUGGAAAAUUGGUUUUUGGAAAGUAGUGUGGAAGAGAAAAAGAAAUUCAUAAAUUCAUAUUAUGCAGUGGUACAAUUUUGACCUUUGAAUUAGGAAAAAAGAUUGUUAUGCAUUAUCUAAACAACCUACACAUCACUACUUUGGAAUCUAGUGGAAUAUUUCUUACAUCCCAUUUUUUUAAAAAAGGAAGGUGCUUGGACCAAUGAAAAAUUUACAAUAUAAUAUACUAUAUGUUGUUGAAGAUAUAUUUGUCAUAGUAACAAGUUUGAUAUACAGGCACAUCAACCUCAGUUGUAGUGUGGUGAUAAAAUUAUUUUAUGCUUAAUUAUAUAUUUAGAUUUGAGUUCUAAAUAUGGAUAAAUUUUUAUUAGGAGCGUCUUUGAAACUUCAAUGCAGGUACUGGAUAUCAGAUAGGAAUUUAGAAAAAAAGUUUGAUGAAUACAUAUACUUAAAGUAUUUUCUCCAUUCAUUUUUACUUAUUAUAUUUCAACUUGAUAUAUUCAUUAAGAAAACAAUACUGUCACACCCCUGUUUUUCACCGCAUCCGACUCCGCUAGGGAGUUGGUUUUAGAGAAAAUGGGUUUUUCCAAUUAAAGUGACGUUCUGGAAAGGGAUUAUUUUAUUUACAGAGUCGCCACUUGAAAUGGAGUUUGGGUGUUCCAAGUCACCUUAUUGAAUCCCUAUUCAAAAGGAAAUGACUCUUUAUUUUUAUUUUUUGAUCUGUGAACUAGGAAUCCGGAUAAGGAAGGAAUCCGGAUAAGGAAUUCUGUUGACCGAGGGGAAGGUGUUAGGCACCCCUCG